GAUUCUGGCUCAGGAUGAACGCUAGCUACAGGCUUAACACAUGCAAGUCGAGGGGCAGCAUGGUCUUAGCUUGCUAAGGCCGAUGGCGACCGGCGCACGGGUGAGUAACACGUAUCCAACCUGCCGUCUACUCUUGGACAGCCUUCUGAAAGGAAGAUUAAUACAAGAUGGCAUCAUGAGUCCGCAUGUUCACAUGAUUAAAGGUAUUCCGGUAGACGAUGGGGAUGCGUUCCAUUAGAUAGUAGGCGGGGUAACGGCCCACCUAGUCUUCGAUGGAUAGGGGUUCUGAGAGGAAGGUCCCCCACAUUGGAACUGAGACACGGUCCAAACUCCUACGGGAGGCAGCAGUGAGGAAUAUUGGUCAAUGGGCGAGAGCCUGAACCAGCCAAGUAGCGUGAAGGAUGACUGCCCUAUGGGUUGUAAACUUCUUUUAUAAAGGAAUAAAGUCGGGUAUGGAUACCCGUUUGCAUGUACUUUAUGAAUAAGGAUCGGCUAACUCCGUGCCAGCAGCCGCGGUAAUACGGAGGAUCCGAGCGUUAUCCGGAUUUAUUGGGUUUAAAGGGAGCGUAGAUGGAUGUUUAAGUCAGUUGUGAAAGUUUGCGGCUCAACCGUAAAAUUGCAGUUGAUACUGGAUAUCUUGAGUGCAGUUGAGGCAGGCGGAAUUCGUGGUGUAGCGGUGAAAUGCUUAGAUAUCACGAAGAACUCCGAUUGCGAAGGCAGCCUGCUAAGCUGCAACUGACAUUGAGGCUCGAAAGUGUGGGUAUCAAACAGGAUUAGAUACCCUGGUAGUCCACACGGUAAACGAUGAAUACUCGCUGUUUGCGAUAUACUGCAAGCGGCCAAGCGAAAGCGUUAAGUAUUCCACCUGGGGAGUACGCCGGCAACGGUGAAACUCAAAGGAAUUGACGGGGGCCCGCACAAGCGGAGGAACAUGUGGUUUAAUUCGAUGAUACGCGAGGAACCUUACCCGGGCUUAAAUUGCAGAUGAAUUACGGUGAAAGCCGUAAGCCGCAAGGCAUCUGUGAAGGUGCUGCAUGGUUGUCGUCAGCUCGUGCCGUGAGGUGUCGGCUUAAGUGCCAUAACGAGCGCAACCCUUGUUGUCAGUUACUAACAGGUUCCGCUGAGGACUCUGACAAGACUGCCAUCGUAAGAUGUGAGGAAGGUGGGGAUGACGUCAAAUCAGCACGGCCCUUACGUCCGGGGCUACACACGUGUUACAAUGGGGGGUACAGAGGGCCGCUACCACGCGAGUGGAUGCCAAUCCCCAAAACCUCUCUCAGUUCGGACUGGAGUCUGCAACCCGACUCCACGAAGCUGGAUCCGCUAGUAAUCGCGCAUCAGCCACGGCGCGGUGAAUACGUUCCCGGGCCUUGUACACACCGCCCGUCAAGCCAUGGGAGCCGGGGGUACCUGAAGUGCGUAACCGCGAGGAGCGCCCUAGGGUAAAACUGGUGACUGGGGCUAAGUCGUAACAAGGUAUCC
rnacentral:rRNA from 1 species